rnacentral:rRNA from 1 species
GACGAACGCUGGCGGCGUGCCUAAUACAUGCAAGUAGAACGCUGAAGGAGGAGCUUGCUCUUCUGGAUGAGUUGCGAACGGGUGAGUAACGCGUAGGUAACCUGCCUGGUAGCGGGGGAUAACUAUUGGAAACGAUAGCUAAUACCGCAUAACAGUAGAUGUUGCAUGACAUUUGCUUAAAAGGUGCAAUUGCACCACUACCAGAUGGACCUGCGUUGUAUUAGCUAGUUGGUGGGGUAACGGCUCACCAAGGCGACGAUACAUAGCCGACCUGAGAGGGUGAUCGGCCACACUGGGACUGAGACACGGCCCAGACUCCUACGGGAGGCAGCAGUAGGGAAUCGUCGGCAAUGGACGGAAGUCUGACCGAGAAACGCCGCGGGAGUGAAGAAGGUUGUCGGAUCGUAAAGCUCUGUUGUAAGAGAAGAACGAGUGUGAGAGUGGAAAGUUCACACUGUGACGGUAUCUUACCAGAAAGAGACGGCUAACUACGUG